rnacentral:rRNA from 1 species
GAACGAGAAUCUACUGAAGGAGGAUUCGUCCAACGGAAGUAGAGGAAAGUGGCGGACGAGUGAGUAACGCGUGAGGAACCUGCCUUGAAGAGGGGGACAACAGUUGGAAACGACUGCUAAUACCGCAUGAUGCAUAGGGGUCGCAUGAUCUUUAUGCCAAAGAUUUAUCGCUUCAAGAUGGCCUCGCGUCUGAUUAGCUGGUUGGCGGGGUAACGGCCCACCAAGGCGACGAUCAGUAGCCGGACUGAGAGGUUGAACGGCCACAUUGGGACUGAGAUACGGCCCAGACUCCUACGGGAGGCAGCAGUGGGGAAUAUUGGGCAAUGGGCGCAAGCCUGACCCAGCAACGCCGCGUGAAGGAAGAAGGCUUUCGGGUUGUAAACUUCUUUUAAGAGGGAAGAGCAGAAGACGGUACCUCUAGAAUAAGCCACGGCUAACUACGUGCCAGCAGCCGCGGUAAUACGUAGGUGGCAAGCGUUGUCCGGAUUUACUGGGUGUAAAGGGCGUGCAGCCGGGUCUGCAAGUCAGAUGUGAAAUCCAUGGGCUCAACCCAUGAACUGCAUUUGAAACUGUAGAUCUUGAGUGUCGGAGGGGCAAUCGGAAUUCCUAGUGUAGCGGUGAAAUGCGUAGAU